GCACACCGUCUUCAAAGAGAGACAUAACGAGACAGAGCGGACACAGGAGUGAAUCUGUACCUGGACUGUGGAUUUAAAAAAGCGCAACGAAGAGAAGUUGAAAUCGUCACUACUGCGACAGGGAGCCGCUGCACACUGCUGUCCAGAUAAAAAGGUAAGAGGUCAGUGAAGGCAGUGGUACCAGUGGAUGGAGAUGAUGUCCAUGCAAAUGAGUGAGGCAGACAGCGUGGUGAAGGUGGCAGAGUGGCAGCAGACUUACUAUGCCACAGACUCUGGGAUCCAAUCAGGAGCUACCACAGUGCAGGAUGAUGAGAGCACUGAGUACAGUGGUGACAAGAAGUACAAAAGCAGAAACACCAUUGCCACUGUAACUGUCAUGGCCAUGGCAGGGGAAGGCGGAGACACAACAUUCAGUGGAGUGGAGAGCCCAACAGAUUUAGAAGCUCAGUACUCUCUUACUCGGGCUCAGCGGGUCAGGGCUGCCAUGUUUCCAGAGACUCUGGUGGAAGGGGAGGCAGCCAUGCCUGUCCAGUCAGAUCCUUCACAGCAGAGCAACGUGCAGCGACUGGCUGAACCUUCCCAGCUGCUAAAAACAGCUAUUGUCCACCUGAUAAACUACCAGGAUGACGCUGAGCUGGCCACCAGGGCAGUGCCAGAGCUCACCAAGCUGUUGGCAGACGAGGAUCCGGUUGUGGUGAACAAGGCAGCCAUGAUUGUCAACCAACUGACCCGUAAGGAGGCCAGUCUCCGUGUGCUGGUACAGUCUCCAGCCAUGGUGGCUGCCAUGGUGCGUGCCAUGAUGACAGCAGCUGAUACAGAGACAGCUCGUUGCACAGCCAGUGUGCUUCACAGCCUAUCCCACCAGAGGGAGGGACUGCUGGCCAUAUUCAAGGCUGGAGGGAUACCAGCACUGGUCCGAUUGCUAAGUUCACCAGUGGAAUCAGUCUUAUUUUACGCCAUUACUACCCUUCACAACCUGCUGCUGCAUCAAGAGGGAGCUAAGAUGGCUGUACGUCUUGCAGAUGGCCUGCAGAGGAUUGUUCCCUUGCUAAAAAAGAGCAAUCCAAAGUUUCUGGCCAUAACCACAGAUUGUCUCCAGCUCCUGUCCUAUGCAAACCAGGAGAGCAAGUUGAUUAUUCUGGCCAAUGGGGGCCCAGAAUGUCUGGUUUUCAUCAUGAGAAACUACAACUAUGAGAAGCUACUUUGGACCACCAGCCGUGUUCUCAAAGUACUGUCUGUCUGUCCCAGCAACAAACCAGCCAUAGUAGAAGCUGGAGGUAUGCAGGCUUUGGGGCAACACCUUACAGGUUCCAGCCAGCGUCUGAUCCAGAACUGUCUGUGGACACUCCGUAAUCUGUCAGACGCAGCAACCAAACAGGAGGGAUUAGAUGGUCUGCUGCAGAUACUGGUCACUCAGCUGGGCUCAGAUGAUGUCAACAUGUUAACUUGUGCCACAGGCAUCCUGUCCAACCUGACAUGUAAUAAUUCACGCAAUAAGACACUGGUAACUCAGUAUGGUGGAGUGGAGGCAUUAAUCCAUGCCGUGCUUCGUGCUGGGGAGAAGGAGGAUGUUGCUGAACCAGCGGUCUGCGCCCUGCGCCACCUCACCUCCCGCCACCAAGAUGCUGAGCUUGCCCAAAAUGCUGUGCGGCUGCACUAUGGCAUCCCGGCUGUUGUUAAGCUGCUGGGCCAGCCCCACUACUGGCCCGUAGUAAAGGCUACAGUAGGUCUCAUCCGGAAUCUGGCACUGUGCCCAGCUAAUCAGGCGCCGCUGAGAGAGGCAGGUGCAAUUCCACGAUUGGUGAAGCUGCUGCUCAAGGCUCACCAGGACACACAGAGACAAGCCUCCUCUGGACAGCACACAUACCAGGAUGGUGUUCGCAUGGAGGAAAUAGUAGAGGGCUGCACAGGAGCACUUCACAUUCUGGCCAGAGACCCUAUAAACAGAAGAGAGAUUGCCAGCAUGCAGACCAUACCACUCUUUGUACAGCUGCUGUAUUCAUAUGUGGAGAAUGUGAAAAGAGUGUCUGCAGGCGUCUUGUGUGAGUUAGCCCUGGACAAACAGUCUGCAGAGCUCAUAGAUGCAGAAGGGGCAUCAGCACCACUCAUGGAGCUGCUGCACUCCAACAAUGAGGGAAUUGCAACCUAUGCUGCAGCAGUGUUGUUCCGCAUUUCGGAAGACAAGAGUUCAGACUACAGGAAGAGAGUGUCAGUGGAGCUUACACAUUCGCUGUUUAAACAUGACCCCAAUGCCUGGGAAAUGGCCCAUACUGCAGUUCCUUUGGAGUCUACAUAUCUUGCUGAUGAAAAACCCGAUGUUUUCCAGAGAGAGAGUUCUGAGAAAGAGUUAGCUGUGGAAGAGACUGGCUUUGGACUUACCUGUUCUGGGAACCUGAACCUUCACUAUCUGGGAAUCCCUUUGUUUCAAGUUUUGUCACACUCAGCUAUAAAUAAACCUUUUAACUUGUCCCACAUUCCCACCUGCUCAGUUGACCCUGACAGAACAAUCAAGCCACUAAAUGGAUUCAGUGGACUUUGAUCCGGUUCACUGGGUUCUUGCCCAACAAGAAGCUCAGCUGGGGAGGCAUGAGUAUAUGCUGCACAUCUCCAGACAGCUGGAUGCCUUGGCUCAGAAGAUUGCGGAGCUCAGAGUUAUGCCAAGUCCACCUUUUCCGCUACCUGAUUCUUCUGUUACUACCUCUCCUGCACCUCUUCCUCAGCCCUCCUCUCCAACCCUGCAGCCUUUGAACCCAGCAGCACCUCUGGAGAGGUUCCUGCCUACACCUGAAUUCUUCUCUGUUUAGGAACAUGUUUCUCAAGAGCUUGCAUCUGGAUGCUGUGGCUCAUAGAUUGACUUCCCUUUGACAAGGAUAGAAGAACACAUCCGGGAGCAUCAGCAUUCUAGAAACUACAACUCCCAGGGAUCAUCAUGGCAGCCAAAAGACAGAGCCCAGCAAUAAAGGUGGGGAUACUUGCAGCCAAAUCAAUAAUGACUCUUCCCUAUCAAGAUUACGUCUAGCUGCCAAGAUUACCUUCCAGUCAAAGUCUUAGUCUGUGCAGACCCUAAUGACUCUCAAGCAGAACAAAGCUUUUUAGAUCAGAGUUUCACUGAGGAACUAAAUCUUCUGCUGGAGCAGCUGCCUGAGCACUUUGACGUUUCAACCCUGGAUGGAUCCCAUCUACCGGAUAUCACUCACAGAACUCUCCCAGUCUCUCUCUCUCUCUCGCUCUCAGAGUUAGAUGGCUCUUACCCUCCAUAUGGCUAUGCUGAUCUGCCACUGGACACCCUGCCGCUAGACCCUGAUGUCCACGAGCCCUACAUUCCUGACAUGACUUUUGACCC